UACGUAGGGGGCGAGCGUUGUCCGGAAUUACUGGGCGUAAAGGGCGUGUAGGCGGUCAAUUAAGUUAGAUGUGAAAGACCCGGGCUUAACUCGGGGAUUGCAUUUAAGACUGGUAGACUUGAGUACAGGAGAGGAAAGUGGAAUUCCUAGUGUAGCGGUGAAAUGCGUGGAUAUUAGGAGGAACACCAGUGGCGAAGGCGACUUUCUGGACUGUAACUGACGCUGAGGCGCGAAAGCGUGGGUAGCAAACAGG
rnacentral:rRNA from 1 species